AUAAUUACCUGGACGGGGUCGAUGGGCGAUCAAUAAGGCCCAUGGCCUAGGUUGGUGAUCUCUAUUGCACUUUGGUGGGGUGCCCGCCUAAGGUCGGCUCAAGUGGUCGAGCCUACGUUUAAUUAUUUGCCAAUUUUUUAUCUGUAAACAA
rnacentral:snRNA from 1 species